rnacentral:rRNA from 1 species
GACGAACGCUGGCGGCGUACUUAACACAUGCAAGUCGAGCGGAGCGGCGAACGGGUGAGUAACGCGUGAGUAACUGCCCCCCUCUCUGGGAUAACAGUUGGAAACGGCUGCUAAUACCGGAUAGUGGGGGAUGACUCGCGUCCUAUCAGCUCGUUGGUGGGGUGGUGGCCUACCACGGCGACGACGGGCAGCCGGACUGCGAGGGCGACCGGCCACAUUGGGAUGAGAUACGGCCCAAACUCCUACGGGAGGCAGCAGUGGGGAAUAUUGCACAAUGGGGGAAACCAUGAUGCAGCAAGGCGCGUGCGGGAUGACGGCCUUCGGGUUGUAAACCGCUUUCAGCAAUGACGCGGUGGUGGCAGCAGAAGCACCGGCUAACUACGUGCCAGCCGCCGCGGUAAUUC